GAGAUAGGGCCUUCGGGCUCGACCUCCAACCCCAUAUCUACCUUCUCAUGUUGCCUCGGCGGGCCGCCGGAGCCCCUCGCGGGCGAAGGCCGUCGGCACUCGUGCUCUCGAGCGCCCGCCAGAGGACCACACAAACCCUGCUCAUCGUAGACUUCUGAGUGAGAAACACAAUAACUUCAAAACUUUCAACAACGGAUCUCUUGGUUCU
rnacentral:misc_RNA from 1 species